rnacentral:lncRNA from 1 species
UUUACAAAGAACUAUAAAAUGUACCUGGUUUAUAUCGAUAUAGAGCAGUUUACAAAAAGUACACAAAAAUCAAAGUUAUUAGGAAUUUAAAUAACAAUAAAAAAAUAUAGCCUUAUCUUUUCAAAACACACUGUUGUCCAAUGAAGUCCUCUUAAGAUGAUCCUCGAUCAGAAGGUAAUGAACUGCCACAUACAAAGCUGAUGGAUUGAUGUGAGAUAGUAGCCAAAACAGUUGCUAUAUUGGUAGCUGUGGAAUCAAGUAAUGGUUUUGUCUUUCAAAAACAAUGCAAAAUUGGGUACUCCAAAGUAGGAGAUGGUCCCAUAAUUAAGGUGGCUAUCU